rnacentral:rRNA from 1 species
UGACUGUACUUUAUGAAUAAGGUCCGGCUAACUACGUGCCAGCAGCCGCGGUAAUACGUAGGGACCGAGCGUUGUUCGGAAUUAUUGGGCGUAAAGGGUAUGUAGGCGGUCUAUUAAGUUAGAUGUGAAAAAUCUGGGCUCAACCGAGAUCUUGCGUCUAAUACUGAUAGGCUAGAGUCUCUGAGAGGAAGGCGGAAUUCCUGGUGUAGGGGUGAAAUCUAUAGAUAUCAGGAAGAACACCGGUUGCGAAGGCGGCCUUCUGGCAGAGGACUGACGCUGAGGUACGAAAGUUAGGGUAGCAAACAGGAUUAGAGACCCUGGUAGUCCUAACCGUAAACGUUGUAUACUAGGUGGUUGAAGUAUUGAUCCUUUGACUGCCGCAGCAAACGCAUUAAGUAUACCGCCUGGGGAGUAUGCCGGCAACGGUGAAACUCAAAGGAAUUGACGGGGCCCCGCACAGGCAGUGGAGCAUGUUGCUUAAUUCGAUGAUACGCGAGUAACCUUACCAGGUCUUGACAUAUACCUGUCUGGUGUAGAAAUACAUCAUUGCUUCGGCACGGGUAUACAGGUGCUGCAUGGUUGUCGUCAGCUCGUGCCGUGAGGUGUUGGGUUAAGUCCCGCAACGAGCGCAACCCUUAUUCUUUGUUGCUAACAGGUUAAGCUGAGCACUCUAAGGAGACUGCCGGUGACAAACCGGAGGAAGGUGGGGACGACGUCAAAUCAUCACGGCCCUUAUGACCUGGGCUGCAAACGUGCUACAAUGGGUGGUACAAAGAGUUGCGAGACCGCGAGGUGGAGCUAAUCUCAAAAAACUAUCCUCAGUUCGGAUUGGAGUCUGAAACCCGACUCUAUGAAGU